rnacentral:rRNA from 1 species
UACGUAGGGGGCUAGCGUUGUCCGGAUUUAUUGGGCGUAAAGGGCUCGUAGGCGGCCAACUAAGUCAUACGUGAAAUCCCUCAGCUUAACUGGGGAACUGCGUGUGAUACUGGAUGGCUUGGAUUUGGGAGAGGGAUGCGGAAUUCCGGGUGUAGCGGUGGAAUGCGUAGAGAUCCGGAAGAACACCGGUGGCGAAGGCGGUUAGCUGGGCAGUUGCUGGACACUUGAGGCGCGACAGCGUGGGGAGCAAACAGGG